GUUUGUCGUUUCUCAACAUAGAGUCCGAAGCCUCAGGCUCUUCAAGAUGGAGGAUGUAAGCAUGGGGAUAUGGGUGGAGCAAUGCAACAGUUCUGUGCCGGUACAGUACUCACACAGCUGGAAAUUUUGCCAAUAUGGUUGCAUGGAAGACUAUUACACUGCACAUUACCAGUCUCCUAGGCAGAUGAUCUGCUUGUGGGACAAAUUGGCUAGGGGUCAAGCCCAAUGUUGCAACUUUAGAUGACAGAUUAAGAGACAAAUCUCGUCUUUAAGAUUCAGCCGUACAUAGUCCUCUUCGGCUUCUUGUAAUUAAGCCCGCAUCUGGUUAGUUCCGCUAUAUCAUGAAGUAGGUCAGGCUGGCAAUCCCAGUAGAGAAAGUGAUAAAGAAAUUUUGACUGGGAUAUAUUGUGCCAUUGCACUGGCUAUUUUGAUCGAGCUGAGUAAUUUCGGUUCGGUCAUCUUGAAUGGAACCCGUUUUGCGCUACCGGGAAAAUGUCUCUGUGACAAAGGAGUAGGCUAUUCAUCGAAGCAUCAACUGAAUCGAACCAAUGUUGAUGAAAUGGAAAAGAUGGGUUCAGGUUGAUGCCUUGAGUUUUGAUCUCGUUUCUGUGUGACGUCUUAGCCUGCAAGCUGAAUUUGUCUGAACUGGACCAAAUGAUGUUGUCUCCAUGUUUUUCAAUUUCGAUGGCCAGAUUGCUGUUCCGAUC